GGCCUCGUAGCUCAGGGGUAGAGCGUCGGCUUCCAGCCGCAUAGGAAUUUUCCGAAGGCCAUCCGUUCAAAUCGGGUCGGGGUCA
rnacentral:tRNA from 2 species